rnacentral:rRNA from 1 species
ACUUAAAUUGAAGAGUUUGAUCAUGGCUCAGAUUGAACGCUGGCGGCAGGCCUAACACAUGCAAGUCGAGCGGUAGCACAGAGAGCUUGCUCUCGGGUGACGAGCGGCGGACGGGUGAGUAAUGUCUGGGAAACUGCCUGAUGGAGGGGGAUAACUACUGGAAACGGUAGCUAAUACCGCAUAAUGUCGCAAGACCAAAGUGGGGGACCUUCGGGCCUCAUGCCAUCAGAUGUGCCCAGAUGGGAUUAGCUAGUAGGUGGGGUAACGGCUCACCUAGGCGACGAUCCCUAGCUGGUCUGAGAGGAUGACCAGCCACACUGGAACUGAGACACGGUCCAGACUCCUACGGGAGGCAGCAGUGGGGAAUAUUGCACAAUGGGCGCAAGCCUGAUGCAGCCAUGCCGCGUGUGUGAAGAAGGCCUUCGGGUUGUAAAGCACUUUCAGCGGGGAGGAAGGCGUUAAGGUUAAUAACCUUGGCGAUUGACGUUACCCGCAGAAGAAGCACCGGCUAACUCCGUGCCAGCAGCCGCGGUAAUACGGAGGGUGCAAGCGUUAAUCGGAAUUACUGGGCGUAAAGCGCACGCAGGCGGUCUGUCAAGUCGGAUGUGAAAUCCCCGGGCUCAACCUGGGAACUGCAUUCGAAACUGGCAGGCUAGAGUCUUGUAGAGGGGGGUAGAAUUCCAGGUGUAGCGGUGAAAUGCGUAGAGAUCUGGAGGAAUACCGGUGGCGAAGGCGGCCCCCUGGACAAAGACUGACGCUCAGGUGCGAAAGCGUGGGGAGCAAACAGGAUUAGAUACCCUGGUAGUCCACGCCGUAAACGAUGUCGAUUUGGAGGUUGUGCCCUUGAGGCGUGGCUUCCGGAGCUAACGCGUUAAAUCGACCGCCUGGGGAGUACGGCCGCAAGGUUAAAACUCAAAUGAAUUGACGGGGGCCCGCACAAGCGGUGGAGCAUGUGGUUUAAUUCGAUGCAACGCGAAGAACCUUACCUGGUCUUGACAUCCACAGAACUUUCCAGAGAUGGAUUGGUGCCUUCGGGAACUGUGAGACAGGUGCUGCAUGGCUGUCGUCAGCUCGUGUUGUGAAAUGUUGGGUUAAGUCCCGCAACGAGCGCAACCCUUAUCCUUUGUUGCCAGCGGUUCGGCCGGGAACUCAAAGGAGACUGCCAGUGAUAAACUGGAGGAAGGUGGGGAUGACGUCAAGUCAUCAUGGCCCUUACGACCAGGGCUACACACGUGCUACAAUGGUAUAUACAAAGAGAAGCGACCUCGCGAGAGCAAGCGGACCUCAUAAAGUAUGUCGUAGUCCGGAUUGGAGUCUGCAACUCGACUCCAUGAAGUCGGAAUCGCUAGUAAUCGUAGAUCAGAAUGCUACGGUGAAUACGUUCCCGGGCCUUGUACACACCGCCCGUCACACCAUGGGAGUGGGUUGCAAAAGAAGUAGGUAGCUUAACCUUCGGGAGGGCGCUUACCACUUUGUGAUUCAUGACUGGGGUGAAGUCGUAACAAGGUAACCGUAGGGGAACCUGCGGUUGGAUCACCUCCUUACCUUAAAGAA